UAAAUGUUAUUUUAUAACGAUUGUUUUAUCUGCUUGUUAAGUUUUAUUGUUUGUGUGCUUGUUAAGCUUUACGUUUACGUUUUACAUUGGACGGAAAUGUGUCUAAUUAGCAAAGAGUAGAUAAUGAAACGCUAAAUAAAAUAGAAGAAUAGAGAACGUACUGGCGAUGAUCAUUGUUGCUAGCGAGAGGAUGAACAGCAGACAAGCCAAUGACAGCCACACAACGGCGCAAAGUUAUGGGAUGCUGCUUUUAGGAAACAUGAAUGUUGUAAAAGGUACUCUACACUAGGCAGCUGUACAUCGAACAAGUUGAUUUACUUGGCGUGUUGCAAAGAAAUAGUCGUGGCG